GGGAACUCUGUACCAUGCUGGCGACCAGGUCUGCGGCUAAAUUGAAGUCGCCCUAUUUUCAUCCUAGGUGUGCGGUAGCUACAGUAGUACAUGCGCAAAACCCAAGUCGUUAACUGGACUUUAAAUUGAGGAUCUGGCCAUAAAACUAUUAACUGCUAAUCAAGUGGAAGACCACACACACACAUAAAUAAUACAGUAUUAUAACUGUAGCAUACCGUCGACUACACGUGACUGUGGAGAGCUUUAACUGUAUCCACCCGGGAGCCAGAGACCAAUCAAUGACGUGUUUCCGAAGCGUCGAUUUACCGACGUGUUUACAGACGGAAGAAGGAAAAACAACUUUAUAUCGGAGUUGUCUCGAGAUGGCUAUGCAUUUUCAUGGCAUAAGGCUAGUAAUCAUAUCAUUUCUCCAUUGAAUACAGACGGUCGACGUAAACAACCCUCGUCGAAUAUUCAAUGCUGGAUUACAAUAAUGAGAUGCAUCCACCAAUCCAAAGAAAGGAAAGGCGGAAGUUAGGCAGCCCGGUGAGUCGCUUUGUGGACAACGACUCCCAUCGUUAGGUCCGGAGAGACAUAUAUAAACCUGUCAGUAUAGCCAUAAUCUUUGAUAAUAAAAGUAAAUGAACAAAGAAGUAGACCAGACCCAGCUGCUAUUGCAUUUGGUGUCUAUAAGAGACAUCUCGUUAAGUAGACCGGAACUGACCUUUUUUGUUGUUGUUGUAAACGGCGAGUGAACCAUCUUAAUUUAUCCACCAUCUUUGGUGUGUUCAGGAGGAAGUGGAACAUGUAAACACACAACAAUGUCAGCCGUAGACCUAGUGCUCUGCAGCCAGACCUUACUUCUGCACAGUUAUCAAGCUAUAUCAGACCCAUAUCCAUCCAUACAGAACACUUGUCGGCUCUGCGGUCAAAAUCUGCUCAUCAAGGGGACAUUACAGGCAACACGAAGAAUAUUUGACAAGCCUAAAGCCUCAAAGGAAAAAAGGUUAUGUGAUAGAUUCCUUGCCACCGGUUUAGUGCUAACUGAAGCACCAGGGGUGAAAUCGGGCAGAAUUUGUGCAAAGUGUUAUAGACUAUUUCUCAGGAUAGAGGAAUCUGUAAGCGUUUUAAAGAAAUGGCAAUCGGAGCAUCAGACACCGGGGACGACCAAGAAGACAUCUGAACGGGAACCGAGUCCAUCUGGAACAGACAAGGGAGCCAAGAAGACAUCUGAACGGGAACCGAGUCCAUCUGGAACAGACAAGGGAACCAAGAAGACAUCUGAACGGGAACCGAGUCCAUCUGAGACAGACCGGGCUGCCAAGAAGACAUGUCCUCCCUAUAAAAAGGUUCCCCCGAGGAGCAGUCUUGUCGAGGUUGUCAUAACAUACCCUAACCAAUUGGAUCCAAAGCUGAAAAAGAGGGUUGAGAAGGUUUCAUCCGAAUUUUCCGGAAUGGUUGAAAACUUGGCAAAAGGCAAAUUGACGACAUUUGUCAGGUUAGCCUUGACGAAUGAAACCAUGUGUCAAGAAAUCAGAAAGCAGAUGACACAGAAAAUAGAAGCAGAGGUCAAGGCAUAUGCAAGACCCUUAAAUUACCUGACUUGUGCUGAACCUUGCAUCUUGAGUAGUACCUCGUUGGAGAAUAUGAAGUGUUUUUCAUACAAAGCGUUGGAUGAUGAGUUGUCCAGGAAGACACCAUGGCUUUAUACCACCAUCAAUACUGCAACAGGUGGAUCCACCAUCCAUAACUGUGUAGCCGCCUCUGUGGCCCUGAGAGGUAGAAACCCCAGGCUUUCUGCACUGGCCUAUGUCAUCAACUCCACACUGACCCAAGGAGGGGUUAAGCCCAUUUUCAAAAGACUCUCUAAGAUGGGCAUAACAACCACACACAGCAAUGUCCUAAAUAAGCAGAAAGAGAUGAAGGCAGCUGGGUACAACAUCAACAUCAAAUGCUGGAGGGAGGACUGUGAGCUGUUUUUCCAACAUAGUAUCAACGGUGAAGUCUGCCCACGACCACCUCCUACUGCUAAACCGACAGAGGAGACCGGAAGAGAGGAAGAAGAGGAGGAGGACAAGGGUCCAGUGGAGGAUGAGUUUGAAAUAGAGCUGGACUGGGGUCCACUGGAGGAAGAGGGUGAAGGAGAUGAGGAAGAGUGGAGUCCACUGUCAGAAGAGACAGAAAGAGAGGAGGACAGAGGAUCUACAGUGGAGGAAGAGAGAGGAGAGGAGAAAGCCCGGGGUUCCCUGCUAGGAGAGACAGAAAGAGAGGAAGAGGGACAAACAUUAUCAGCACUAGAAGGAAAUGACAGACAGGAAGAGGAUUCUGAUUCAACAGUGGAUUCAGAGACUGAAUACUUUGGAUUAAACCUCACCUGUGAGAGUGAUUAGAGAAGUAGCCUAACAAAGAGUCUGUAGAUUACAGAUCUAGACCUGGGCUACAUCUCUGAACAACAAGGGACUAAUCAUAGAAUACAUCCCAAAUGGCACCCUAUUCCCUUUAUAGUGCACUACUUUUGACCAGGGCCAUUUGGGACAGAAUCAUACAGUGAAAUUACUCAUGUUGAGGGGGGUCAGGAUGUGAGGUCUACUGUUCCUGGUGUGUUGAGGGGGUCAGGAUGUGAGGUCUACUGUUCCUGGUGUAUUGAGGGGGUCAGGAUGUGAGGUCUACUGUUCCUGGUGUAUUGAGGGGGUCAGGAUGUGAGGUCUACUGUUCCUGGUGUGUUGAGGGGGUCAGGAUGUGAGGUCUACUGUUCCUGGUGUAUUGAGGGGGUCAGGAUGUGAGGUCUACUGUUCCUGGUGUGUUGAGGGGGUCAGGAUGUGAGGUCUACUGUUCCUGGUGUGUUGAGGGGGUCAGGAUGUGAGGUCUACUGUUCCUGGUGUGUUGAGGGGGUCAGGAUGUGAGGUCUACUGUUCCUGGUGUAUUGAGGGGGUCAGGAUGUGAGGUCUACUGUUCCUGGUGUAUUGAGGGGUCAGGAUGUGAGGUCUACUGUUCCUGGUGUGUUGAGGGGUCAGGAUGUGAGGUCUACUGUUCCUGGUGUGUUGAGGGGUCAGGAUGUGAGCUCUACUGUUCCUGGUGUGUUGAGGGGGUCAGGAUGUGAGGUCUACUGUUCCUGGUGUGUUGAGGGGGUCAGGAUGUGAGGUCUACUGUUCCUGGUGUGUAUUGAGGGGUCAGGAUGUGAGGUCUACUGUUCCUGGUGUAUUGAGGGGUCAGGAUGUGAGGUCUACUGUUCCUGGUGUAUUGAGGGGGUCAGGAUGUGAGGUCUACUGUUCCUGGUGUGUUGAGGGGGUCAGGAUGUGAGGUCUACUGUUCCUGGUGUGUUGAGGGGGUCAGGAUGUGAGGUCUACUGUUCCUGGUGUAUUGAGGGGUCAGGAUGUGAGGUCUACUGUUCCUGGUGUAUUGAGGGGUCAGGAUGUGAGGUCUACUGUUCCUGGUGUAUUGAGGGGUCAGGAUGUGAGGUCUACUGUUCCUGGUGUGUUGAGGGGGUCAGGAUGUGAGUACAGUGUGUGUUGAGGGGGUCAGGAUGUGAGUACAGUAUAUUGAGGGGUCAGGAUGUGAGUACAGUGUGUUGAGGGGGUCAGGAUGUGAGUACAGUAUAUUGAGGGGUCAGGAUGUGAGUACAGUGUGUAUUGAGGGGUCAGGAUGUGAGUACAGUGUGUAUUGAGGGGUCAGGAUGUGAGUACAGUGUGUAUUGAGGGGUCAGGAUGUGAGUACAGUGUGUUGAGGGGGUCAGGAUGUGAGUACAGUAUAUUGAGGGGUCAGGAUGUGAGUACAGUGUGUUGAGGGGGUCAGGAUGUGAGUACAGUGUGUAUUGAGGGGUCAGGAUGUGAGUACAGUGUGUAUUGAGGGGUCAGGAUGUGAGUACAGUGUAUUGAGGGGUCAGGAUGUGAGUACAGUGUGUAUUGAGGGGUCAGGAUGUGAGUACAGUGUGUUUACAACGGUAUUAAACAGACCAGCUCCAUUUAGAUGUUCAAUUCAAACUUUAUUUUUUGUUAUUUGGUACUUCUCCAAAUGGCACCCUAUUCCCUAUAUAGGGUUCUGGUCAGAAGGAAUGCACUGAAUGAAUAGGGUGUCAUUUGUGACGAAACCCUUGAAUAGAAAAAUGAAUAAAAAAUAAACCUAUAUCCAGUAUUCCAUAGAGGGGUCUGUUCAUGUCUGGGUUAUUGUUCAGGAAACAGAGGUCUUACCUGAACCUGUCCAAUAAGAACACAGGUUUUUGUUUUGCUACAUCGUGUUCUACUGAAUAGGACCCUGUUACCACGACACUAUCAAUGAUGUCACGGUCACAUGUUUGGCCUGUAGCCCUCAGGGACAGGUCUGUGUUCUUGUGGCUGGGACAGAUGGCGUCUCCAGGUUAGGGUAUGGUAAGGUGCCUGGGAACCACAAACAUCCACUUUGUUAUGUCCAUGUUGUUAUAAUUAUAUUUAAUUUGGGAUUUGUUCUCAAUUAAUUAUCUGGGUAAAUAAAGGUUAGACGAACACAAGAUUUGACCUGUCUUUAUCAUGAUGGACACCAGGCAGCCACCCAUACAGCCUUGUAAAUGAUGAUGGCAGACAUUUUGUUUUCCAAAACUCACCAAAUGUCUGCAUCUCCCACAGCACGAUGCCAAAUGCCCACACGUCCCCCUUGAAGCUGUAAUAGUUGGUUUUCUGACCGGCCAGGUCACAGUGCACCCACCACCUGUAAGUACAGGUCAGAGAUCAGGACUAAUAAAUGUUCUGUAGCUGUGUGUAUGGGUUACUGUCUGUAAGAAAUGAUCGUAGGUCACAGUGCACCACCUGGAACACAGACCCCAGAUCAUUUACUGUCUGUCUAAUGUCAGGUCCCAGACCAGUAAUGCAGGUGGCAGUUGGUGUCAUAAGGAAUGAGUGGGAGGAGGAGGAAACUGGCUUCCAUUUUGGAUCGGAGGUGUUCCAUGGCCAGUGUGAUGUGAUAAGAGGUGAUGGUGAGCAGGCUCUGUAGCUCAGGGUCAGGGGUCAUCUCGUCUCUGUGGGUCUGAAGGAAGCGCCAACACACAGGACUCUGGGAGAACUACACACAGGACUCUGGGAGAUCGACACACAGGACUCUGGGAGAACGACACACAGGGCUCUGGGAGAUCGACACACAGGACUCUGGGAGAACGACACACAGGACUCUGGGAGAACGACACACAGGACUCUGGGAGAUCGACACACAGGACUCUGGGAGAUCAACACACAGGACUCUGGGAGAUCAACACACAGGACUCUGGGAGAUCACCACAUAACACAGAAUUCAUGUUGUUGUAGUAAAUAUGUUAUAGAUGUGCCACUCGUUUCUAUUCCUUAUGGAGACUAAUAUAAAUAAUGCCGACUCCCAAAGUGGUAGAUUAUCACACAGUAUUUUUUUCUUAUUUUGGUCAUGGGAGGAUGGUCAGUUUCUCAUUUGGGUCUCAGGCUGAAAAAGUUUAAGAACCCCAAAUGUAGGGAAUAGGCUGCCAUUUGAGAUACAAACUGUGUGACCUUACCCCCACUAAAGCAGUGUCUCGUUGCCCCCUCAGUCUCAAUGGACAUUUCAUCUCUGGUCAUUAUGGGUAUAAGAUUAUCAAGGAGUGGACUGGUGGUAGCCUAGCCUAGCGUUCCCUCUUUGAUGAGCUGGUGGUAGCCUAGCCUAGUGUUCCCUCUGAUCUGGUGGUAGCGUAGCCUAGCGUUCCCUCUGUGGUGUUCCCUCUUUGAUGAGCUGGUGGUAGCGUAGCCUAGCGUUCCCUCUUUGGUGGUCUGGUGGUAGCCUAGCCUAGUGUUCCCUCUUUGGUGAUCUGGUGGUAGCCUAGCCUAGUGUUCCCUCUUUGGUGAUCUGGUGGUAGCGUAGCCUAGCGUUCCCUCUUUGGUGAUCUGGUGGUAGCGUAGCCUAGCGUUCCCUCUUUGGUGAUCUGGUGGUAGCCUAGCCUAGCGUUCCCUCUUUGGUGAUCUGGUGGUAGCGUAGCCUAGCGUUCCCUCUUUGGUGAUCUGGUGGUAGCGUAGCCUAGC
rnacentral:lncRNA from 1 species